rnacentral:rRNA from 1 species
UACGUAGGCAGCAAGCGUUGUUCGGAAUUACUGGGCGUAAAGAGUGUGUAGGUGGUGUCGUAAGUUUGAUGUGAAAUCUCCCGGCUUAACUGGGAGGGUGCGCCGAAGACUGCGAUGCUGGAGUAUGGGAGAGGAAAGCGGAAUUCCUGGUGUAGCGGUGAAAUGCGUAGAUAUUGGGAAGAACACCGAUGGCGAAGGCAGCCAUCUGGACCGACACUGACGCUGAGGCGCGAAAGCGUGGGGAGCAAACAGG